GCGAGGUUUCCCAGGAUCCCGACAGGAAGGGCAAAACUGAAGAGAACCAGCAGGACGUAGCAGUACCACUUGCUCUCGAACUGGCUGCAGAAUACUGUGGACUGGUUCAGGAACUCCAGGAACACCUCUGGGAUCAGCUGUCUCCAUGGUCUCAGAGCAUCACCCGCGUGUCCAGGAAAUGAAUGUCUACAGCCAACAAUGAAAUCCAGGGGGCCGUUCGUCUAUUGCCUCCACUAUGUCAGCCUCUGUUUGCUUUUAAUCCGACACAAUUCACUCAUUUUGUCCAGCCAUGUCAGACUUGUUGAUGUUGGAGAGCGGAAUCAUGAUGAAUGGAGACGGCGAUCACAUCCCAGGUCGCCUUCCUCUCCUCCUCCACCAGCUGCGUGCUUC